rnacentral:rRNA from 1 species
AUUGAACGCUGGCGGCAGGCCUAACACAUGCAAGUCGAACGAGUGGCGGACGGGUGAGUAAUGUCUGGGAAACUGCCCGAUGGAGGGGGAUAACUACUGGAAACGGUAGCUAAUACCGCAUACCAUCGGAUGUGCCCAGAUGGGAUUAGCUUGUAGGUGAGGUAACGGCUCACCUAGGCGACGCUCCGUAGCUGGUCUGAGAGGAUGACCCGCGAGACUGGAACUGAGACACGGGCCAGACUCCGAGGGGUGGCAGCAGGGGGGAAUAGUGCAAAAUGGGCGGAAGCCUGAGGCAGCCAUGCGGCGGUGAUGAAGAAGGCCUUCGGGUUGUAAAGUACUUUCGGCUGGGAGGCGUUACCCGCAGAAGAAGCACCGGCUAACUCCGUGCCAGCAGCCGCGGUAAUUC